rnacentral:lncRNA from 1 species
AUGAAUGAUCAGAGACGACAAAGGCUCCCUCCUUUUCCUUAGUCAUUUGGAUUCCUCUCUCACUGUGUCUCUGUCUCUCUUCCUGUCUCUCAUACACACCCCUCAGGGUAUCCAUCCGGGUAACAUUCUAGAGUAGCACAACUGGUUAGGAUGAGGAAGCUCUCCUUAGUUUAUUCCUCACCCCAUUACCUCUAGCUCCUUUAGCUCUAACUUGGGCUUGGAUAAUGCUCCUCUUCUGAUCACAUCUUUAACUCUUUUCCCAGAAUCUCCAUUCUGUUUCCCAGCCCAGAAGCCAAGGCUUUCCUCCAAACGUGAAAUGCCCUGGACAACUAGAGGGUGAUAUAUUUGUGUCCCCUCUACAACACCAAUUAAUUUCAUUUCAGCCCUCUGUGUUCAGAGAAUUAUUAGCUUCUUUUCCUGUAGAACCAAAUGGACAGAAAAAGAAGAUAGGAUUACAGGAAGGGGGCAUAGCAACAGCAUUUUCUUUUAUUGGCUCCAUACAGUUAAGAUGGUGGUAAAGUGUCUGAGGUUGCCUCGUAGAGAUAGGUGCUUUUCCAGCUUUUCCAGUGUUCGAGGGUAGAGGAGAGGGUGUGUGACUUUUAUGAUCAUGAGCAGAGCAAGGAGAAGGAAAAAAAAUCCUUGCUGGAAGCCUCUGGUGGAGGCAGCUCUAGGAGACCAAGACCAACAUACAUAGGUCCAAAAGAGAAAGAGCACUGGUUUGACCGAGCGGGGGCCCUGCCAGAGCACCAGCAAGAGGCUCUGCCCUCUUCCACUUCCAGCUCAUCGCUGCACGGAGAUGACAAUCCUGAGCCUCUUCUAGUCUUCACCUGGCUAAAGAUCCUGCUGUUGGCCAAAUGAGCCACUGUGGUGAUUUGAGGAUUCUUUCUGAAACUAUUAGAUCACUGUGGUCUACAUGGACGUGGGCCUCCCAGAUCCCCCUUGAGGAAGGAAUGUCACCCCAGCUGCUAUGAGUGCCAGCUCACAGCCCCUUCAUGCACUCCUCAGCAGCAGGGAGCCACCUCACCUGAGGGCAAGAGGUUCACAGGGCAGCCCAUGUCCAGGAUCUUUCCCCAGAAUUUAAUGCUAAAGUAUGUUUCUCUGAAGUUCAGCUGGGUGAGAUUUUCUCUUGAUCACAUCAGCUGGUGCAAGCCUCUAGUGCAAGC